ensembl:lncRNA
UGAAGCUGAUUUCGUUGUAUUUUAGGUUUUUAAACGCGCUCGUUUCUACAAGCCCCGCCCCCCCAUGACGCGAAGGGGAGAAGCGAUGCGGAUGUGAAAAACGACCAUUCAACUUGCCUCUGGCUCUCUCCUCCGCACCGAGUGAUGUUCGUGAUACUUUUACGUCUCCUGACUAUGAUCCAGUUGGCGGACCUGGUCACAGGUUGUGAGGUUGCGCAGAGACGCAGAGAACCCUAACACGUGACAUGCCGUCCGCUUUCCUGAGUUAUCAUAACAGUAGCUCUGUUCGUCAACGGUAAAAUUCACUAUGCCAGGAAAAUGUCGAUUUAAUAAUGCUUGGCUGCUUUUGGAUAAAUUCAAAGCAUGGAUUACAACCGACCAAGACCCGGUAAGAGCAGAAUGCAGGUUGUGUGGAGGCAAAUCUUUUGACAUUUCGAACAUGGGGGAGGCGGCAUUAACUAGCCAUGCGAAGGGGAGCCGACAUCGGAGCGCUGCUGCUAGCGGAGGGACCGUGACCCCUAUCUCCGACCUUUUCGCUACAGCGGCUACGGCAAAUGCUCCUAUCUCUGCUCGUUUGGGCUCGCGCCCCACUUCAAGAGUCUAACGUUGUCCAGCGUGUUGACUCAAAGGGCCUAUGUCAUUGUUGGAAUGCAUUAAGGAUGCAUUCUUACAAUGAGCACAGGUGCGUCGUUGCCGUGGUUACUCGCUCACACGCUGCAGGAUCUCUGUCUGUGACUCACAGCUGCUCCUAUGACCUGAUUAGUGGAGUCACAUGACGCAGCUAUGCUUUCUGUCAACAGACCAAUAUGAUAAAGACACUCGCCCCCCCUCCCCCCUCCACCCUGACCUCUUCUCACUGUUAAUCACUCACUAAGUCAGUCUGUCUAUUUCUCCUCCUCUCUCUCUCCCCCUCUAUCUCUUCCUCACCCUCCCUCUCUCUAUCUACACCCCUCCACCCCACCCAAUCCAAUAAUUUCAAAAUAAAAGCCCCAUGAGGGAGUUUUGACUGUAAUGUUAGUGAUGAGGCCUACUAAUUAAAAACUUCUUAGUUUGAAUAACAAACAUUCUGUCUCCCAACCCCCCCUCACCCAAUUCCAUCAUUACAAAAUAAAAGCCUCAAUGAUUAUCUGUACCUUAACCAUGAAGCGGUUUCGUUGAAAUACGUGUUGCUCUUUCAAAUACUACUACAACCACUACGAAUAUUACUAGUACUUCUAGUAGAACUGCAACUGAUACUUCUACUACCAUACUACUAGUAUUUCUAGUGCUAUUAAUACUACAACUACUACGAAUGUUAUUACAAAUACUACUAUGGCUAAUAGUGUUAGUAUUACAGCUGUUUCUACUGCUAUUGAUACUAAACAGACUUCUACUGCUAGUACUAAUACCACAAUUACAACUAUAACUAAUAUUACUACAAACAAUUUUUAACAUUUUUAUUCAUCUCAGCUUUUAUUUCUGUCCUUUUUUAAAAUUCAAUUAAGCUCUUGCAACUUCUGUAUUUUUUAGAAAAUCUAUUGAAAUUCAGCUUCCCCACUUCCUGUAUUUUCAGCAGUUUUUUAAAAUAAUUUCAGCUAUUCUUAUG